rnacentral:antisense_RNA from 2 species
CUUCAGCGAGCCGAGCAGCAGCGGCCGUUCCUCGGCCCGGCCCUGACCGUACGUGGCCAGCAGCGCCUGCGCCUC